UCACGCGCCAUAUCCGGCGGCGUCACCGGAAGCACCGCUUCCUCUGCUGCAGGGGAAGUUCUCGCCUUAGCAACCGGGCCUCGGCUGUAAAUAGACACAGCCGCCUCACACUGUACUCAUCCAGUUAGACUGGCUGAAGAUGUGGAUGCUCACCCACGGCUUUCUGUGACUCUCCUGCAAGUUGAUCGCAGCUCUUUUUUUUCCUUUGAGUAGGAGGAGAUAUUACUAAUUCCAGCAAUGCCAGGAUUGCAGCAGAGUUACUGAUCUUGUUUUCAAGACUCUCAGAGAAGGCGCAAGAAACGCCGUGGUAGAAAGUCUAGGCAAAAAAGGACCAGUUUCCUCCAAAUCCUUAUCAGCUGAAGUUGGAACCAUGGGGCUAUUUGACAAACUGGCUGGCUGGCUUGGCCUAAAGAAGAAGGAAGUUCAUGUGUUGUGUCUGGGGCUGGACAAUAGUGGGAAAACAACUAUAAUUAACUGUCUAAAACCUUCAAAUGCUCAAGUACAAGACAUUGUUCCAACCAUUGGAUUCAGCAUUGAGAAUUUCAAGACAUCUGGUCUCUCCUUCACAGUGUUUGAUAUGUCUGGCCAGGGAAGAUAUCGAAACCUAUGGGAACACUAUUAUAAGGAAGGCCAGGCCAUCAUUUUUGUUAUUGAUAGCAGUGACAAGUUGAGGAUGGUGGUUGCCAAAGAAGAGCUUGACACACUUCUUAAUCAUCCAGACAUUAAACACAGACGAAUUCCAAUUUUAUUUUUUGCAAACAAGAUGGACCUCAGAGAUGCUUUGUCAUCUGUAAAGGUUUCCCAGAUGUUGUCUUUAGAAAAUAUUAAAGAUAAGGCAUGGCAUAUUUGUGCCAGUGAUGCUGUAAAAGGAGAAGGACUACAAGAAGGUGUCGACUGGCUCCAAGAAAUGCCACUGUAAUCAUCUGAUGAAUAAUUACAGCAAGCCAUAGCAAAUAAAAAAUCAACCACUAGGUGUCAGGCAUAUUUUGACUACAGAUCAAAUCAAAGCAAUGAAGGUAUGAAGACCUCUGAUAAGAGAUGCUGAAGAAUGUGAUUUGGCACAGCUCGAGAGUUGAACAUUGUACCAAAUAUAUCUCAUCAUGUUGAGGACCAAACUUUAAUUUAUCUCUCUUUUAAAUUGUAUGCUUAAGAAAGCAAAAUAAUGUACAUAGGAGUCAAAAUAAUAAUGUAGUAUUUUUGUAAUGCUAGGGUACAGUGUAGGUUUUACUUAGAACAGUAAGGAAUUAUUUAAAGUUGUAAUGGUCUGGAAAAAGUAUGCAAUGAGAAUUUAAUGUCACAGUUUUCUAGAAACAUCAAAUGUAUUACUUGCAUAAAGAGUCUUGAAUCGGGGCUCACUGCUGGCUAGCUUGCUCCAGACACGUUUAACUGAGAUGGAGUGGCCUCAUGCAUUCUGAAGCAACAUCUUUCUAAGUAGCAUGAGCAACAAGUUCAGACUGGUCCCAGAGUCACUCUGCAAUUGUUAGAUGCUUGGCAACCACACUACAAGCCAAUGUCAGGUUGAUCUAAAAUUGGAACACUCUUUGUUUAGUACAGAGCAGCACAAGGAUAUUUUCCAUUGGAUUAGGCUAGAGGGGAAGGAGAACAAAUUGUAGCUCUUAAUGCAGGUAAUAAAUCUGAUGAUUUUACAAGAUGUCAGAUCAGAGUACUUGGAAUGAAAGUGGAAGUCCCCAUCCAGACUUAGUGCAUCCUUUACAGACAUGUUCAGAAAAAUGUGUAUUUUCAAAACAUGAACCUUUUUGUCAAUUGCAUGGCCCAGAUUGUGUUGUUGUACUGAUGACGAAACUGUCAGUGUUCUCUGUCAUUACCAUCCUGUGAAACUGACAGCAACUUCUGGUGUUCACACAUGUGCAAUUAAACUUGGAAUCCAAAAGCUGCUCUGUGAUUCCCUGCUCAUCCACAGGAGUGCACUGUUUAAGUUCCUGCAAACAGCAGUCAUUUAGAAAUCACUGAACUGACAAGACCUUGCUGUAAUAUCACUGUUUAAAAACCCUGAAAGUGUCAUGCCUUGUUAAUGAGGUGCAACUUGCAUUUUAACAGUGUACUAAAUCAUAACUACUGGUGAAGGAGCUCUUGCUCCAGAAAAUUAAUUUUAUCUUUCUGCAAUGUCAAAUGUUUCCAUCAUGGCAAAAUUCAGUAGUUUUUCAUUAGUAAUUCUGAUAUUUCAACUAAUCUUUAAGUCCCAAGUUUUAGUUUGCUCUCUGUAAAAUUUAUAAUAAGUGAAGGUUUAUCAGUACAUUUUACUUCCUACAUUCUGGUCUGUGGGAAUUCCUCAGCGUGAUUGACUGCUUACCCUGCUUGAUGAUAUCAGUGUUACUGGACACUUGGAGAUCCCCUUGACUUGACGCCAGGCAAAAGGAGAAAUCCAUGCUUUGUUGGCAACUUUCGUUGAGGUCAUAGGAGAGUGUCGCUUCACCGCUGACCACAAAAUCUGGGCUGUUAAUUGUGUAGAUGAUGACAAAGACAAACUUUACUUGUAAACAUGACAGUAUUUUCCUUUCUUCAUAUGUUUUGUUAAGUCACCCAAACAAAAUGCAUUUUUUGCAUGUUUCAUUUUUGCAGUUCACCUAGAUUAAGAAGUUAAUAAGUUUUGAGAGGGUUCUAAUUGUAUUUGCUUAGAUUAUUACUGAUCACGGUUAAGUAGGUGUUAUAGAAGGAUGAAAUCAUAUUGGCUAAAGGGCCAUUUUUUGAUUUGAGCCUAUCUUGUGAACUGAAAAUAAAGUAAAACAAAUCAAA